rnacentral:RNase_MRP_RNA from 1 species
GGAUGCUCUGAAGACCUGCUCGCUAGGCCACGCACGGAGGACGCUGGUUCCUCAUGGGCCCUGGCCCGCCUAGGGGAAAGUCCCCGGACCGCCGGCAGAGAGUGCCGGGCGCUGUCGCGCCCCCGCCCGCCCCCAACAUCACCAUGUCACCGCCGAGACGCCCCCGGGCAGAGCGGGUGAGUGCGGGGCGGGCUCUCGUCACGGCCACAGACACGCAGGUAGUGCGCAGGCGCACCAACAGAACGGGGCUCACUCUCAGGCCAUC